CCAGCCAUACCGCGUGGGUGAAGAAGGCCUUCGGGUUGUAAAGCCCUUUUGUUGGGAAAGAAAUCCAGCUGGCUAAUACCCGGUUGGGAUGACGGUACCCAAAGAAUAAGCACCGGCUAACUUCGUGCCAGCAGCCGCGGUAAUACGAAGGGUGCAAGCGUUACUCGGAAUUACUGGGCGUAAAGCGUGCGUAGGUGGUCGUUUAAGUCCGUUGUGAAAGCCCUGGGCUCAACCUGGGAACUGCAGUGGAUACUGGGCGACUAGAGUGUGGUAGAGGGUAGCGGAAUUCCUGGUGUAGCAGUGAAAUGCGUAGAGAUCAGGAGGAACAUCCAUGGCGAAGGCAGCUACCUGGACCAACACUGACACUGAGGCACGAAAGCGUGGGGAGCAAACAGGAUUAGAUACCCUGGUAGUCCACGCCCUAAACGAUGCGAACUGGAUGUUGGGUGCAAUUUGGCACGCAGUAUCGAAGCUAACGCGU
rnacentral:rRNA from 1 species